AUGUAUAUAGCUUCACCUUGGUCUCCCUGUCUCUCUUCCUCCUCCUCUUCAUCCUCCUCCUCAUGCCUACAGAACCUGUCCUCAAUCCAGCCCUCUGCAGCUGUGCGUCAGUACCUCCAGAGCUUCCAUGACAUUGUGAAUGAGGAGCCCAUCUACUGGCUGGUGUCUCUGCUGCCCAGAGCCCUGCUCAGACCUUACCUGGCACAGAACCUGCCCCUGGGAGAGAGGAGCAGACCAGGCCCCAGCCCCUGCCUCUACCCCUGGCUAAGCCUCUUUCCCUGCCCCUGCUACCAGUGGGGGGGUGAGGACAUGAAGCCAGACCAGAGGAACCAGAAGGACAAGUCAGGGACAUAUUACAGGCAUCUACUGGAGAAGUACCAGGAUGUGAUAGACGUCUACAAGGCUGUCAACAUCUUCAGAGUCCAGAUGAUCAACGAGAAGGCUCUCUUCACCUCCAGCUGGUUUCCCACUGGUGACGAGGAGGAAGAGGAGGACCAACCCAUCCUGUUGUCUGUGGAGUCUGGUCCUGACGUUAGGGUGAAGCUGUAGCAGUGCAGCUGAUUGAAUACAAGGAGCUGAGUGUGUAAGGCUGUGUGUGUUGGCUUUCACACUGGGCAGGACUGUUCCUCUUGUCAGACAUAUUCCAAUAUUCCACUUUCAUGUUGGUAACUUCCAACAAAUAACUACUGUUCAGACUGUAUUAAUGCAAUAACACAAUGAAUGUACACAUCUAAUAACACAUUUAAUUAUUGUCAACAAAGGAGCUACAAUAAAAUAAAUAACAUUUAGGUUAUAAAAUCAUAGAAUGAAACUGUGUGAACUGUUCAACUGUAUUUCCUUAUGGGUAUUGCAAUGUCAAUAAUACACAGCAAAUCACAUUGCUGUGCUUGAUCUCAAUCAGAAGAAUUGCUCUGGCUAGCCAAUAAACAGAUGGUAUUGCUUCCAAGAAUUGACCAAUCAGAAAAUGCUAAGGUUGCCCCACUAGCAGUGGGCCAAUAUUUGAAUGCUCCAUUGUAUAAACAAUUGUAUUUAUCCUGUGUUUUACAUUCAUGUUGGAUCCACUGAUUUCAAACAAUUAGAGAAUAGUUGUCCUUAUCACAUCUUCCUCAAAUUCUGUCUUUAAUUAUUUCCUUGGCUAACAUUAUGGUUGAGAUGUAAACCUGUUCUUAAAUGAAUAGAUGAAACCCUUUCUCUUUGGGAAAUACCAAAUAUAACUCCUGUUACUUUAACACUUUCACCUUUCUGGGUGUAACGUUGUGAAGUUCCAAUCCUGACGAGUGGAUUGAUAAAAAUAGAGGGUUUUAUAUCAGAAUUUAUGGUCUGGAUGAUGAUGAUGACAGAUGUACAUGUUGAGGAGCGAGGAUAGUUAGAAACCCGAUGUUAUCUCCUGUCAGAUUUACAUGUUGAGGAUAGUUAGAAACCAGAUGUCAUCUCCCGUCAGAUAUACAUGUUGAGGAUAGUUAGAAACCUGAUGUUUUCUCCUGUCAGAUUUACAUGUUGAGGAGCGAGGAUAGUUAGAAACCAGCUGUUUUCUCCUGUCAGAUUUACAUGGCGAGGAGCGAGGAUAGUUAGAAGCCUUCCACAAGCUUCCCACAAUAAGUUGGGUAAAUUUUGGUCCAUUCCUCCUGACAGAGCUGGUGUAACUGAGGCAGAUUUGUAGCCUUCCUUGCUCGCACACGCUUUUUGAGUUCUGCCCACAAAUGCUGUAUGGGAUUGAGGUCAGGGCUUUGUGAUGGCCACUCCAAUACCUUGACUUUGUUGUCCUUAUUAAGCCAAUUUGCUACAAUUUUGGAAGUAUGCUUGGGGUCGUUGUCCAUUUGAAAGACCCAUUUACGACCAAGCUUUAACUUCCUGACUGAAAUUUUGAGAUUUUGUUUCAAUAUAUCCACAUAAUUUUCCUGCUUCAUGAUGCCAUCUAUUUUGUGAAGUGCACCAGUCCCUCCCUCCCGCCCUUUGUGAAUUUAUGUAACCUGUGCUGGUGGAAAAAUAUUUCUAUGUGGGGCGCCGUCCUCAAACAAUCACAUGGCAUGCUUUCGCUGUAAAGCCUAUUGUAAAUCGGACAGUGCAGUUAGAGUAACAGGAAUUUAAGUAUUUAUUCGCUAUAAGACACGUAUGUUCCUAAGUGUUUAAUAUUCGUCGUUUUUAUGAUUAUUUAUUUGAAUUGCGUGCCCUCCAGUUUCACCAGAUGUUGUCCUGCUAGCGGGACGCCUAGCCUGAAGUUUUAAUGAGUAACUUAAUUUAUUUCCCCCUUCCACCAGAUAAUACACAGACUGUACAAAACAUUAGGAACACCUUACUAAUGUUGAGUUGCACCCCCUUUUGCCAUCAGAACAGCCUACAUUCGUCGGGGCGUGGACUCUACAAGGUGUUGAAAGCGCUCCACAGGGAUGCUGGUCCAUGUUGACUCCAAUGCUUCCCACAGUCGUGUCAAGUUGGCUGGAUGUUCUUUGGGUGGUGGACCAUUCUUGAUACACAUAGGAAAACUGUUGAGCAUGAAAAAUUACUUAACUUUUUAUGGCUGCAGGGGCAGUAUUGUGUAGCUUGGAUGAAAAGGUGCCCAUUGUAAACGGCCAGCUCCUCAGUCUCAGUUGCUAAUAUUUGCAUGUUAAUAUUAUUAUUAUUGGAUAGAAAACACUCUAAAGUUUCCAAAACUGUCAAAAUAUUGUCUGUGAGUAGAACAGAACUGAUAUUGCAGGCGAAACCCUGAGGAAAAUCAAAACAGGAAGUGGCUUCUAUUUUGAAAACUCCAUGUUCCAUAGCCUACCUUUUGCUCCAUUUAAAGGGAUAUGAACCAGAUUCCUUUUCCUAUCUUUUCCUCAAGGUGUCAACAGACUUCAGACAUAGUUUCAGGCUUUUAUUUUGAAAAAAUGAGCCAGAACAAUAACAUCGCAUCAAGUUGUCACAUGAGUUUUGCUCGCGCAACAGAAUUUGGAUAGGUAUUGCUUUUCCCUCUCCUACUGUGAAAGACAUUUGCGGUUGAUAUAUUAUUGAUUAUACAUUUUAAAGACAACCUUAGGAUUGAUUAUAAAAAAAUGACCGCUCUUUCCUGUGUAUUUCUGAACAUUACGCGACAAACAAACAGAGGAAUUUUGGAUCUAAUAAUAAUCUUUAUGGAACAAAAGGAACAUUUGUUGUGUAACUGGGAGUCUCGUGAGAGAAAACAUCCGAAGAUCAUCAAAGGUAAACUAUUCAAUGAUUGCUUUUCUGGUUGUCGUGACCGAGCUACCUGAUGCUAAGUGUACUUAAUGUUUAUCGUGCGAUCGAUAAACUUACACAAACGCUUGGAUUGCUUUCGCUAUAAAGCAUAUUUUCAAAAUCUGACAUGAAUAUAAAUAUUUAUAGUAAUAUUUAUUGUAUGUAGCGCUAUGCUAUUCAGCGGUUGUUGAUGACACUUAUCCCGAAAUCAGGAUUGCUGUGUUGCUUGAUAUGUUUGGAAGAAGUUUUAUUGGUAAUUUACGGGAUUCAUUUGUAUGCAUUUUGAACCGGUGGAUUACUGAGUCUAGCGCGCCAAUGAAACUGUCUUUUUUGGGAUAUAAAGAAAGACUUUAUCGAACAAAAGGACCAUUUGUUAUGUAGCUGGGACCCUUGUGAUUUAAACCAGAUGAAGAUCUUCAAGGUAAGUGACGCCUCUGCAGGGAUGGAAAAUGUAUGUAAUGCUUUGUGUGCUGGGCGUUGUCUUCAGAUAAUCACAUGGUGUGCUUUCGCCGUAAAGUAUUUUUGAAAUUGAACAAUGCGGCUGAAUUAACAAGAAGUUAAGCUUUUAAAUUAUGUAUGACACUUGCAUUUUCAUGAAUGUUUAAUAUUACGAUUUCUGUAAUUUGAAUUUCGCCCUCUGCAAUUUCACCGGAUGUUGUCGAGGUGAGACGCUCGCGUCCCAGUGAUCCGUAAGAAGUUAAUGGACCCCAGGAGGAGUAGCUGCUGCAUGUUCAGUAGGUAAUGGACCCCAGGAAGAGUAGCUGCUGCAUGUUCAGUAGUUAAUGGACCCCAGGAAGAGUAGCUUCUGCAUAUUCAGUAGGUAAUGGACCCCAGGAAGAGUAGCUGCUGCAUGUUCAGUAGGUAAUGGACCCCAGGAAGAGUAGCUGCUGCAUGUUCAGUAGGUAAUGGACCCCAGGAAGAGUAGCUUCUGCCUGUUCAGUAGGUAAUGGACCCCAGGAAGAGUAGCUUCUGCCUGUUCAGUAGGUAAUGGACCCCAGGAAGAGUAUUUGCUGCAUAUUCAGUAGUUAAUGGACCCAAGGAAGAGUUGCUGCUGCAUUUUCAGUCGUUAAUGUUUCAGUGCACGGUCUAGUUUCCCGAAUUUCCGCCUGUCUGACGUUCCCAAAGUAAACUGCCUGUUACUCAGGCCCAGAAGCUAGGAUAAGCAUAUAAUUGGUAUAAUUGGAUAGAAAACACUCUUGACGUUUCUAGAACUGUUUGAAUAAUGUCUGUGUGUAUAACACAACUGAUAUGUCAGGGAGAAAAGGGGAAAUCCAUUCUGAAUUCUUUUUUUGAGCUCCCAGCCACUUCAAAUGUGAAGCUAUGGAAAACUAUGACGUCAGCCUCCCAGAUUGCAGUUCCUAUGGCUUCCACUAGAUGUCAACAGUCUUUAUACAUAGAUUCCGGCUUGUUUUCUGAAAAAACCAACGAGGAAUAGUAGUUUAUCCAAGGGGAGCACUAAGGCAAAAAUAGUCUAUGCGCGCGUGAAUGAGGGCGAGCUAUUCGUUAUUUUCCUUCCCUAUUGAACAUAGUAGUCUCCGUAUAAAAGGAUCAUUUAUUUAAAUAUUAUACUACCUGAGGAUGAAUUAGAAAUGUCGUUUGACUUGUUUGGACGAACUUUACCGGGACCUUUGGGGACUUAUUUUUAUGCAACUGGUGGAUUAUUGAACUCAAUGAUGCCUACUAAACAUACUUUUUGGGGAUGCAAAGAAGGACUUUAUCGAACAAAACGACCAUUCAUUGUGUAGCUGGGACCCUUGGGAUUGCAAACAGAAGAAGAUCUUCAAAGGUAAGUGAUAUAUUUUAGCGCCAUUUAUGAUUUUGUGAUGCCUGUGCUGGUUUGAAAACAUAUGUUGUUGUGGGGCGUUGUCCUCAGAUAAUCAAAUGCUAUGCUUUUGCCGAAAGCCUAUUGUAAAUCGAGCAACGUGGUUCGAUUACCAAGAUUCUAAGCUAAAGAAUCAAGUAU
rnacentral:lncRNA from 1 species